CGCCAAGCUGCGUGCCAAGCGCCAGGAGCGUACCGCGGCAAGACAGAGUACUAAGGAAGAGUAGGGAUGCGAAAGCCUGCGCAGGGCCUUUGAAGAAUAUGCAGAAUGUGAAAGUACCACACUUCUGAAGGCAACAAUGUUUAGUACCUUGCCCAAGGAUAGAAGCAGAUAUCAAGGGAGCCUGGGAGUGUUUGUGACCCCUCCAGCCAGCACUAAUGGUAAUAAGGUUAUGUACCAAGCAGAGAUGUAUGGAAAGCUAAAAGAGGACAUGCUAAGGAGGAGGAUUCAAAAAAUGAUAAAGUGAUGUUUCGUACUCACUACAAGUCAACAAAGUAUGAAUUACACCGACAGGUGUGGUCAAAUAUUUGAUUUAAACUUCACGUAAUACAGAUAACCCAGUACUGGGGAAAUGCUGCAAAAACAACUUGCAGGAAGAUCUCUACUUCUCUUCAGGAGAUACUUGGAUACUUGCCAUUUCAAAAUUGAAGAUGACUUAGAUGCUACUUGCCAUACGGAAGAAAUUGAGGCUGUGAAAAGUUUUAUCGGUUCCACUUAUGAUUAAGUGACUGAGAAUAAAACCAGUGAAUGGUAGGUAAAAGAACUUUGGUUUAAAGGUGACGACAUGGACCUUAUCAACUCACAUGAAGCACAGUGAGAUUCACAAAUGACUAGAAAAUUCCAUAACCCUCCAAACCAAUCCUUGUAAUCAGAGGACACCCAGGGGAGCAGGACAGUCGACAGGUACAUCCACAACUUUAGUGAAGUCUGUUGGCAGGGACUCUGACUUUCUCGAAAAAGUAGGAUGCUUUGAAGGCUUGUGAUUGGUUUUUCAGGUCAAGUGAUUAUUAUAAGAAAAUAUUGUUUAUGACUAUGGAUGGGAUGAAAUCUUUAACCUAACCUAAGAGCAAAUCACCAAAAUCCUCUCUAUACCUACUGGAUGACCUACAUGACUUUAUACAGCUCUUAACAGGCACUCAUUGACAUGUGAAUUUGAUAUUCUCAUGGAGGCAAAAAUAAUCUGAGAGUAAGAUGAGAGUACUCAGAUUGUAUUGAAAGGUAUAAUAAUGUGGAAAUUCUGUAGGAUGUUUUCUUAAAGCUGAUUUUGACCAGGGACGAAAAUGUUUAGAGUGUUGGUAAUCUAGUAUAGCUGAUAGCCCUUAAUAAAAGGAUGUUAUAUUUGCUUUAAUAUAGUACUUGUCCUCCAGACAAGUGAAAGAAUUUAACAACCUCAGCUACAUUAUGAUAAUCUGGAGUUUUCUACUCAAAAGAAUUGAGUGAGGAUGUACUUUUGAAGGGCCAAUUCAGUACUUAAGGCAUUGUCAACAAUGAGUAGAAAGGGGAGCACUGUUCUACUAGGAUCAGCUCUACUCCAAAACUGUGGUUAUGCCUCUCUCUCUCUCUCUCUCUUUUUUUUUUUGAUGAGUAUUACUUUCUAAAUUGAAAUGAUCCCACAAAACACUUGGUUUGAGGCUUGGUGAAGGAUGCCUUGUAGAUAACAGAUGCAGAGGACAUUGGAUUGGAGUGUUUAGUGAAUGUGGCUUCUCAGGUCUCCCCAGCCGUUACUGGGACAGGUGUUUAGGCUGGUGACACUCAGGUUCUGCCUGCCCAGGAUGGAGAAGCUUUCCAAGCCUCUAAUAUCCCCAGCUACAUUGUCCCAAAAUUCUAGUAUACUACAUGGUUACAAAAACUGCCUUUCACAAGCCAGAUCAUCUGGAUCUCUAACCUUCAGGAUCCAGGAAUGAUCCUUGCUAAGCUACCAACAUUGUCUUGCUACAUUGCCUACAGUUGAUAUAAUAAUGACUAGGCAUCUUACACAGUCAUAUUUUGAUGUUGUAAGAAGAGGAAGUUGUGAGGGGCAUAUGAAUUCAGGUCUGCAAUGGUCAGAGGUAUAGUGGGAGUUAAGCAGAGCACUCUGGUCAGUUCUUACCACAUAAAUGGGCAGGUAUGUCUGGGUGUUGAAGGUGUUUGUGACCACUCUCAUGGUACUUAUGGGCCUAACAAAACUCAACUGCAUGUUUUUUCCAUGGUCUCAGUAGUUUGCCACACCUGGCUUUGGGAACCAUUUGGUUGUUCAGAUUCCUGUCUGGAACAUCACAAGGCCUAGACAGCCACUGACUAGUUGCCAGAGUCGGAAACUCUGCUUUUAUAAUUGUUUCCUCACAGAGUAAUGGUGAGGGCUUGUGUAAUAGGAUAUGUUGGUGCUAUGAAUCAAAAAUGGCAAGUAUUAACUUGUAUAACAGUUGUAACAAAAAGUAUUUUGUAUAAAUAUAAGAAACCUGAGUAGGAACUUAAAAGUGCAAUCUGCACUGAUCAAUUUAAUUUGGUGCCUCUCAACCUUUUUUUUUUUCAUAGUUCCCCUUCCCACAAAGAGAUUUUCUCUUAAAGUGUUCACAGAUUUAAGGCCAAAUGAUGAAUAUUGCUUUUCCCCCAUAGGUGAGGAUUAAUGAAAAGAGUAGGAAGGAUCUUACUGUUACUACAGGCAGUACUAGGUAUUUUAUUUUCAGGUUGUAUUUGGAGAGAAGCAAGCAUCUUUGCCUCUUUAGAGUAGGAAGUUCAGACUGGUAAAAGGUAGUAUCUUCUCUCUUUUUUUUAA